CACAAGCAUUUGGAAGGAGUAAUAAUCGAUCGACCGACGUGCGCGAUCUCCAUUUCUCACACACAAGUUUACUGAGGUUCUUUGUGUAUUCUGUAGCGAAGAAGGAUAUUUGACCAUUCAAAACUAUCGAAAAUGGUUAAAAUGGAACAUGAUGAUGGAAAAAAUGAACCUGAACAUGUUAGGAAAUUAUUUAUUGGUGGAUUGGAUUAUAGAACUACAGAUGAUUCUUUAAAGAAACACUUUGAAAAAUGGGGAGAAAUUGUAGACGUAGUUGUAAUGAAAGAUCCAAAAACAAAACGAUCUAGAGGAUUUGGAUUUAUUACUUAUUCUCGUGCACAUAUGGUAGAUGAUGCUCAAAAUGCAAGGCCACAUAAAGUCGAUGGACGCGUAGUUGAACCUAAAAGAGCUGUUCCUAGACAAGAAAUUGGUAGACCUGAAGCUGGAGCAACAGUAAAGAAAUUAUUUGUGGGUGGUUUAAAAGAUGAUCAUGAAGAAGAAGAUCUUAGACAAUAUUUCCAAAGUUAUGGUAGCAUAAAUUCAAUUAGCAUUGUAACAGAUAAGGAAACCGGCAAAAAACGUGGUUUUGGUUUUGUUGAAUUUGAUGAUUAUGAUCCUGUGGAUAAAAUUUGUUUGCAACGCAAUCAUCAAAUACGCGGCAAGCAUGUAGACGUUAAAAAGGCCUUAAGUAAGGCAGAGAUGGCUUCUGCAUCAGGAGGUGGUGGUGGUGGUGGUGGCGGUGGUAGCAGAGGAGGACAGAAUGUAGGAAGAGGACCUCGUGGUGGCAAUCAGGGUGGCGGUAAUUGGGGAGGUCGAGGAAGUGGAGGUGGUGGAGAUUGGAAUAAUGGUGGUAAUCAAGGCGGUUAUAGUGGAGGUAAUCAAGGAGGUUGGGGCGGUAACGGCCCUUGGGAGAAUCAGAAUCAAGGUAAAGGAGGUGGCUGGGGAGGUCAAGGAGGUCAAGGUGGAUAUAAUAGUGGCGGAAAUUGGAGCAACGAUAACUUUGGCGGAGGUUACCAGCAAGGCUAUGGCGGUGGUCCAGUACGGAAUAAUUUCAACUCUGGAGGAAGACCUGCACCCUAUGGUAUUAAUAUGGGUCCUAGUGGCCGACAGUCUGGAGACUCGAGAUGGCUACCACCCUUCGGUGGACAAGGUCCCAUGGGUGGUGGAAAUUCUGGAGGUGGUGGUGGUGGAUACGGUAAUCAAGGAGGCUAUGGUGGUAGUUCUCUUGGUGGUGGAAACAUGGGGGGAGGAGGUGGUGGUGGUGGAAGAAGAUACUAAAAUACACGUUAUCCAUGGUUACUUCCCUCACGUGGUGAACCUACUACUUGUCUUCUAGUCGCCAGUACUUCUGUACUGUUUAGUAUUGGAGCAGGCAGGGCUAUAAGGCUAGAGACAAGACCAGGCAGGACAAUCAGGAUACAGGACAGAGAAGCGUCAUCUUAAUAGAUCACAAGCGCUCCGUGUCACAGCUACCGUUGUCACUCGUCAUAGGAGGUAAGUUGAAAUCGACUGCUUUUUUAAUUUUACAAUUAUAUUAUAAUAUUUAACACUCAAAAUUAUCAUAAUUAUAUAACGUACAUUAUAUUAAGGGUUCAAAGGAUAAAGGAAACAAAUAGUUACAGUUAUAUGCAGUAUGUGGACAUGUCAUAGUCUUGGUGCCUAAAUUUGAAAUUAAUUUUAUCAUUAUUGAAUAUAACAGGCUUAUCCCUUGAGAAGUUCAUGUAAUAUAAUAUAUUAUAAUUAGUCUUUUAGAAAGGAAGUAAGUCAUGAGCCAAUAAGGAGUAAGUUUUAUGAAACUAUAUGCUCUUAUAAAAAAAUAAGUGUCCAAUUUAAAAAAUUAGCAAAUGUUACAAAUUAGAACAAGUAAGUCAUAGCUUUUUGAGAUAUAUUUUUUUGUUAUUUAUAUCUUAAAGAUUAUUUAUUGCAGAGAGUAAACUAAAUGUACAAGAAUAUUACAGAAUGUUAAGGCAUUAAUAUUUAAAUGGAUAAUGAAAUUCAAUAUAAAGGAGAAAAAUAUGCAAAAGGUAAAAUCUUUAUUAUCAAAUCUUAUUCUUUAUAUUUUUUAUCAUAUUUUUGAAACAAAAAAUAAAUAGUUAAGUAUUACAAGUUAGUGGUUUUCUUAUGAAUCAUCUAUUUUACACAAACUAAUGUUUUGCAUAAGUAAAAUAAUACAAAAUAAUAAAUUUUCAACUUUUAGAGUGAAAUAAAAUAACAAAUAGAGUGGAAUAACUAAUGGAUUACUCAUUGGUUCAUUAAGCAUGUUUAUUAAUAUUGUAAGAAAGAUGUUAAAUAACGUAAUUAUUAAAUUAUUAUGUAUUGUAAAGAACUAAUUAUUUACAUUAAUUUUCAGCAAUGUAAUUUGGGAAACUUUUCUAAUGUAAUAAAC